rnacentral:lncRNA from 1 species
CUCCCCAUUAGAACAGUAGAUCAUCCUUACCAAGGUUAGAAGGAGACUACGGUUGCAGUCUUCUCUAUUUAUCACUCACAUCGAAAGACAUUCUUUGUGCCUAAAGGUUAGUAGUAAUAGACCGGUUAGUCAGAUGCACUCUUUCUCCUAGUGGUAAAAAAAUAAAUACGAUACUCUGGAUAAUUUCCCGGGUGAAGUGCUCACCGAUAUCCGUGCGCUUGCGGAUCAAUUCCUUAUUGCGUUCCCAAAUAUCAACAAGCAUUUCUGGCGCCGUUGUCGGGGAGAAAGACGGUUGCUGAGAUAACCUGAGUCUUACUAUUAGCUUGUAUCUAUACUUUUAUCUUUUCUUAUCUUUUAUAUUCUUUAUUUAUUUUCUUUACUCUUACCUUAUGGAAAACCAAAAUUCUAAAUCGAUCCAUGAGUCUGCAAUCCCUUCAGCAACUGACCUUUUACCAUGGGAAUCAUCACAGCCUAUCCAAACAUCCCAGUAUAAGUUAAGUUCUAGGUUGAUUGCCAUGAUUCAAAACCUAUCUUUUUCGGGAAAGGAAGACGAAAACCCUUACCUUCAUAUUAGAGAUUUUGAGCAAACAUGUGAUUGUCUUCGCAUUGAAGGCAUUUCCGAUAAAACUUUAUGUUGGAAGCUUUUUCCUUUUUCUUUAAGGGGAGAAGCUAGACAAUGGUACAGUCAGAAGGUAAGUUAACAACAAGGUGAAUGGGGAGUUUUACGAGCCAACUUUUGUCUAGAUUUCUAUUCCCUUGACUGUAUAGCCGACCUUAGACUCGAAGUCCUAUCUUUUAAACAAAAAGAUAAUGAAACUUUGGGAAAAUCCUGGAAACGUUUUUCUGAUCUUUUAGAAUCUGGUCCAAAUCUUAAUCUUGAAGACCCUGUUCUUUUAUUUCACUUUUUUCGAGGUCUUCAGAAAAAUCAUAAACAAAUGCUGCACACAAUGUCUAGAGGUUCUUUCUUUCGCAUCCCUACUGAUGAAGCUAGAGUGAUCCUAGAUAGAAUCCUAGAAGCUGAGAUGGAUAAUACUCUUCAUGAUGAAACCUACGAAGCCGAAGUAGACACUCUGCCAAAUUCUUCAUCUACUUUAGCUAUCCCAAGUUCUGAGCCACAAGAGGAAGAAAUUCCACCACCGGACUUCAUGCAGGAUAUAGAAUCCGAUCUUUUUGCCGAUUUUGGAAAUAUUUCAAACUACCAUUCUAUUGACAAACCCCAAAACGGCCAGUUUAGCAUUCAUUUGCCAAGUGAAUAUCAAUUGAGAGAGCUUAUCUCAGUAAUGAGUAGCGAAUGGUUGGAGGAAUCAGAGCUUUACUCUGAUGUGAUCCAUUUGGACACACCCUCUAUAACUAUACGCUGUGCUUAUAAUUCUGAUCGAUUUAAUGCUCUUUAUAAUCCUGUUGUGGGGAUAAACAUCAUGUCUGAAUCUUUUGCACUUAAACUAUUUAAAAAUCUUGUCUUAACCCCCACAACAAAGGUCAUAAAGGAAUCUUCGGGACGAUUAGUCCCCAGUCUUGGAAUUAUUAAUGUCCUACCUCUUACGGUAGAAGGCUCCAUGGUUCAUUUGAACUUCUAUAUCUUUGAUACAUGGGACUUCGACCUGUUAAUAGGACAACCUUUUAGAAGACUCCUUUAUGAAGGUCAUACUGGAAAGCUACACGUUUCUUUUGGAAAAACCUUUAAAUUCCCAAUAAUAAUUUCACACUCCUUAAACAAUAAGGCCGAGUCAUAUCUUUUGCCUGACCCUAUGGAGGAGGUAAAGGCUGCAUCUCUAGAGCUUUUAGAUGAACCAGACUUAGAAGACGAAACUCCUUUCUUCACAGAAGAAGAAGAUGAACCUUCUGAGCCUGAACCCUUAGAUGAGUUUGCAGAAACACCUAGACCCCCCAUAGAGCUUAAAACUUUACCACCCGGUCUUACAUAUGCUUUCCUAAAUAAUAAUCCAGAGUUCCCUGUAAUCAUUAGCGAUAAACUCACUCAGGAUCAAACUCUGCGAUUAAUGACCAUUCUUGAGAAACAUCACUCAGUUUUCGGCUACUCACUUCAAGAUCUUACAGGAAUCAGUCCUAUGAUUUGUACCCAUCGUAUUCCAACAGAUCCUUCUGUUUCACCCUCUCGAGAACCCCAACGUAGACUUAAUAACACUAUGAGAGAGGUAGUUAAAAAGGAAGUUAUAAAGUUGCUGCAUGCAGGGAUUAUAUAUCCUGUGCCGCACAGUGAGUGGGUGAGCCCAGUACAAGUUGUGCCUAAAACAGAGGCAUGACUGUUAUUAUGAAUGAAAAGAACGAGCUAAUUCCGCAACGCACCGUCACAGGAUGGCGGAUGUGCAUAGACUAUAGAAAACUAAACAAAGCCACGAGAAAGGAUCACUUUCCUUUACCUUUUAUAGAUGAGAUGCUAGAGCGAUUAGCAAACCAUUCGUUCUUUUGUUUCUUAGAUAGAUAUUCAGGGUAUCAUCAGAUCCCGAUCCAUCCCGAUGAUCAAAGCAAAACCACUUUUACAUGCCCGUAUGGAACUUAUGCUUACCGUAGAAUGUCUUUUGGGUUAUGUAAUGCACCAGCUUGUUUUCAAAGAUGCAUGAUGUCUAUAUUUUCUGAUAUGAUUGAAGAGAUUAUGGAAGUUUUCAUGGAUGAUUUCUCUAUUUAUGGAAAAACCUUUGAUAGUUGUCUUGAAAACUUAGACAAGGUUUUGCAAAGAUGUGAAGAAAAGCACUUAAUCCUUAAUUGGGAAAAAUGUCAUUUUAUGGUUAGGGAAGGAAUAGUGCUGGGACACUUAGUGUCUGAAAGAGGUAUUGAGGUAGACAAAGCUAAAAUUGAAGUAAUUGAACAACUACCUCCACCUGUGAACAUAAAAGGAAUUCGAAGCUUUCUUGGCCAUGCUGGUUUUUAUCGUAGAUUCAUAAAAGAUUUUUCAUUCAUUGCUAGACCACUUACUCUUUUGCUAGCCAAGGAUGCUCCUUUCGAAUUUGAUGAUGCAUGUCUAACAUCUUUCAAUUUAUUAAAGAAAGCACUCAUCUCUGCACCAAUCAUUCAACCCCGUGAUUGGUCGUUGCCUUUUGAAAUUAUGUGUGAUGCUAGUGAUUUUGCUGUGGGGGCAGUAUUAGGACAAACUAAAAAUAAGAAGCAUCAUGCAAUUGCUUAUGCCAGUAAAACUUUAACAGGAGCUCAACUUAAUUAUGCAACCACUGAAAAAGAGCUUCUGGCUGUUGUCUUUGCCAUUGAUAAAUUUAGAUCUUAUUUAGUUGGAGCUAAAAUAAUUGUUUACACUGAUCAUGCUGCACUAAAAUAUUUGCUCACUAAAAAAGAUGCUAAACCUCGCCUGAUUAGAUGGAUCUUAUUACUCCAAGAAUUUGACUUAGAAAUAAAAGAUAAAAAGGGAGUAGAAAAUUUUGUUGCUGAUCACUUGUCUAGAAUGUAUUUUAAGAGUCCACAGGAAACCCCCAUCAAUGAUUCACUCCGGGACGACAUGCUCUACGGGAUUAACAGGUCUGACCCCUGGUAUGCAGAUAUUGUUAAUUUUAUGGUUUUAGGGUAUGUACCACCAGGAGCAAACAAGAAGAAUCUUAUUCAAGAAAGUCGUUCACAUAUAUGGGAUGAGCCAUACCUCUUCCGAGUAUGCUCUGAUGGCUUACUCAGGAGAUGUGUGACCACUGAGGAAGGAUGGAAGAUCAUCGACAGAUGUCAUUCAUCACCAUAUGGAGGUCACUAUGGAGCAUUCCGUACACAUUCAAAGAUCUGGCAGUGUGGAUUCUACUGGCCUACAAUGUAUGAAGACACGAGGCAAUAUAUCAGAAGAUGUGGGCCAUGUCAAAGGCAUGGAAACAUAAAUACAAGGGAUGCAAUGCCGCUCACCAACAACCUUCAGAUUGAGAUCUUUGAUGUCUGGGGAAUAGACUACAUGGGUCCAUUUCCUCAAUCGAAGAAGUGCGAGUACAUCUUGGUGGCAGUUGACUAUGUCUCCAAGUGGGUAGAGGCAUUACCCUGCAAGCAUGCUGACAACGUCAGUUCAAAGAGGAUGUUUGAAGUUAUAUUCCCAAGAUUUGGAGUCCCCAGAGUAGUGAUAAGUGAUGGAGGAGCACACUUCAUCAACAAACGCUUUAAGCAAUAUCUAUCAAGACAUGGAAUCCGUCACAACGUCGCUACCCCCUAUCAUCCUCAGACAAGUGGCCAAGCAGAGACUUCCAACAAACAAAUCAAGAAUAUUCUUCAGAAGACAGUAAAUGAAAUGGGAACGGCGUGGAAAGACAAGUUACCCGAUGCACUCUGGGCAUACCGGACAGCAUACAAGACCCCAAUUGGAAUGUCUCCAUACCAGUUGGUGUACGGGAAGACUUGCCAUCUACCUGUUGAACUAGAGUUCAAAGCACAGUGGGCCAUGAAGAGAUGGAAUAUGGACCUAGAUGUUGCUGGAGAUUAUAGAAGAAUGCAACUAUCAGAAUUGGAAGAAUGGCGAGAAAAAGCAUAUCACAAUUCAAAGAUCUACAAAGAAAGAGUCAAGAGGUGGCAUGACAAGAGAAUCAAGAAGGAGUUCACACCCGGAGAUAAGGUAUUACUUUUUAAUUCCAGGGUGAAGCUUUUCGGGCAUGGAAAACUCCGGAGCAAAUGGGAAGGACCAUUCAAGGUAAUUAAUUCAUCAUCCCACGGAGCUAUCACACUUCAAAAUAGCGAAGGUACGUUAUUCAAGGUAAAUGGUCAAUGUCUUAAAUUAUUUUAGAGCCCAAUAAAGAAUUAGAAGAAAUAGACGUAGUCCACUUUUACCUUCCCAUGGAGAAUUAGAGCCCGACCUUUUUAAUCUGAUGUUUUUGGGUCAUAUAUAUAUUUUUCUAAAUAAUUUCGUAUCUAGAAACGCGCUCGAGAAAGUGGGCCCACAGAGGGGCCAGAGAGAGGGCGGGCGCCCAGCUCAGGUGGGCGGGCGCCUACCUCCUGUUCCCCCUCGGUCCCGAUUUUCUCUGUUAUGGAAAAUGCACUUAUGGUAAUUCGAAUAAUCCCUCGGAUGGAAAGUUUCGCACGCACAUCGACGGGAGCAACCCAAACAACCCAUAGAGUAACUUUUUGACCCCUAUAUAAAUAGACCCCUGACCUCAGUUUUCAAACACCAAGCCACCAAGCCUUCUCUCCUUCAAUUAGAGCUUGAUUAGUUCCUUGCUGUUCCAAUGGUCGAGAAGUACCACGAUGAUUGGGAAGUCGUCCCCUUCAACCUCAACAUGGAGCCUGUAGAAGACCCCGAUGCCCGUGCUCUCGUCUCGGCCAACACAGAGCGACAGCUAGAAGCCAUGCCAUUACGCCAACGCAGCUCCGCCCAAUCCUACCAUGCUCAACCAGUUCUUACCACACCGCCACAACCCCUACUCCUCAAAGGAUCAUCAUCCAAGACGAAGACCACUAUCAAGGUGCCAACCGGCACAAGGAUCCUUCCACCUAGACCCAAUGAGAGGGUCGUUGGAGUCAAGACCAACCGGAGCGGCGAGAUCAGCAGUAUUCGCUACACUACGGAGGAGGAAAGGCCUUACUUUGAAGGGAUUAGAGCAGCCAAAGUCCGUUUCAUCCCUCCAAAGGAAGCACCGAAGCACGCUCUCAAUGCUUUUGAGACACCUCCCAAGCGUCGCAAGACUAUAAUGGAUAUUGAUGAGGAAGUUCGCAGGCUAGAUAGAAUUAUCAUAGACCUCCAGUCCUCGAUUAAUUCCCUCACUAGGAAGCUCUCUAACCACAACACCAUUAUACUAGGCCUUAGGCAGGAUCUUGCCAAUACCAACAAGAAGAUCAAGGAAUUAGAGCGCCGCUAAGUUAUCUAGAUUAGACCUUGAGGCAAUGCAUCUUAGUUAUCUAUCUUUAAAAUUCGGUUUAGGUUUGCUAUUAUCAUCAGUUUACUAUUAUCAUUAGUUUGCUAUCAGUUUGCUACUAGUCUUUUGUAAUAAAUGCCUCAAGAUUAAUAAAGAGUAUUAUUAUUGUUAUGUCUUGUGUGUCUCUACUUUAUUUUUGUGCAAGAAAGGAGAAAACAAGUAUGGGGGAGAUCCCUCAACAUGCCAAACACACUCCGACUACACCACUCCACGAUUCAGGUACACACUCUGCACACUUUACUUUACACAUACAUAUAUCUUGAUUAUGCAGAAUAUUGUUUCCGACAUGAUAAAUUAAAAGGAUUAAAAUAUUUCUAAUUAUGAUUAAUCUCAAUCUGUGAUAUUUUAUGAAAACUUGCAAUUAUUGAAAAUCAUUUUAAAACCCUGUGUUACUUAAGUCAAUAUGGAAUAUGUGAUGGUAGAGUAUGAGUUUCUUAUUCUUGAUAUCAUUGCUACUUGGAGAAUUUAUUUCAAAAUAUUCAAAAUUCUAGCUACCAUCCUCAGUGUUUUAUAUGCCUGAUAGAACUGAAAAUAUUAAUUAUGAUUAUAAAAGCUAUCUCCUUUGUAUUGAGUUUGUUCAAAAUGAGUUAGACCCUUGUUGAGAGAUUUAUCAUGCUCCUAAGAUCAAGACAUUUAUUCAGAAAGAUUCACUCUUCCGAAGUAUUAUUGCAUUAGAGGCAUGGGCUAUGCAAAAAUAGAGAUAUUUUGAGGAAAUAAAAAGGAGCAAGUGCUCGACAACCUCGCAGAAAAAAUGGACAAGUGUCCGGCAGUAGAAUUAGGGGUACCUCGGUAUCCACUUAAAAAAAAGAAAAAGAAAAGAAAAGAAGAAAAAAAAUGAUAGCCCAUGGUCCCUCUAAUAAGCAAUAUGCCAGCAAGAGUUGACAAAGAUUUUAAUUUUCAAAGUCUUUGAUCUAAGAGUAUGACAUUCCCCUCCUCGGAUCCCGUUUUGAUCAUGCAAUAAAUGCAAAGUAAGUAUGCUUGAGAAUUUUUGCAAAAUAAAACAACCUCAGUGAGAUAUAUAUAAAAGAUAAUGAGUGAUCUGAGAGAACCCAUGAGGAUCAAAAGGUAUGCUAACUUUCUUUCAAAAAAAUAUACAAAAAACUCCAAGUGACAGGAUUGAGAAGAAAGGAUCUUUACUUUUGACCAUAAACAUCCCUGACUAUGGUACACAGUGGAAUUUUAACACCCUGCAAUUAUAAAGAGAAUGUUUUAAAUGUUUAUCCCAGAUAUUGUUCUUAACCAUCCUUUUCUCGAGGACGAGUAAAAUCCUAAGUAUGGGGGUAUUUGUUGACGGUCCUUAAGUAUCAAUUUUAAUUAUCAAAUAAACAAGAGAAAGGACCAAUAUGCAACCAACACCUAGAAUUAGGGUUUGAUCUGACAGAAUUCCACGAGUUUUGUUGUUUAUCUGUUUCUGCAGGGGGUUAUCAGGAAAUAAGGAAGAAAGGUCCACAUGUCGGGAUUACAUAGAGAUAUCAACGCACCGCACGAUUUUCUACCAUCUAGAAGACUCCAGAAGCCACGGGAAGAAGACGGAGGCCGAAAGGGGCCAGGCCCAGGGCGCCCACCCUGGUGACCUGGGCGCCCGCCCCCUGUUGGAUCCAGUUCAGGACUCUCUUCGCACGGGAUAUUCCACCGACCUAUUGGAUCAAGAAAAACAUAGUACCACCUCGCCUACCGACCCAAAAACGCAUAGAGGAGGAGGACUAUAUAAGGAGACCCCCCUGGCCCCUGGAGAAGACAUGAAGAAAUUAUCAUAGAGACUGAGGGGUGCCCUCGAAGGAAAACCUCUUCUCUAAUUAAUAUUUCUUUUUAGGCUUAGCAACCAAUGUAAGGUAGAAAUAGAUCUUCUAGUUUCUACUAGAUUGAGAGAGAUAGAGUGGAGGUGUUGAUUGGAGGAAGCCCGGCUUGUCGGUGUCUACUCCAAGCUUGUACCUGCGGGAUCAAGUUCUCCUAACCCGAAGCUUGCUCCUAGGAUUCUUCAGUAUUUCGACUUCUAAAUUCUAGUAAGUUCUUGUUUUAUUGUUCUUAUGGUUUAUGAGUUUACUUUAAUCUCUUCGCGUAGAGUUUAGAGUAAUCAUUGCUGGCGUAAACGUGGUGUUUAGGCUGGGGUACUCAUAGAUAUUCCCUGACUAGCUGGACCGUGGUAGUAGUGAGGAACGUGACAAUUCCGAGUUACCUUUGUAGAUCACAUCUCGUUAGCAGGAAGGAUAGGGUUUAUAGGUGCGGGUUGAACAUCCUUUGUGGUGUCUAGAUUCCGUUAGCCUCCCCAUUAGAAUAGUAGAUCAUCCUUACCAAGGUUAGAAGGAGACUACGGUUGCAGUCUUCUCUAUUUAUCACUCACAUCGAAAGACAUUCUUUGUGCCUAAAGGUUAGUAGUAAUAGACCGGUUAGUCAGAUGCACUCUUUCUCCUAGUGGUAAAAAAAAAUACGAUACUCUGGAUAAUUUCCCGGGUGAAGUGCUCACCGAUAUCCGUGCGCUUGCGGAUCAAUUCCUUAUUGCGUUCCCAAAUAUCAACAGUCACCUCGAGGCGGACCCUCGAGGAUCCGGUCGAGGCGAGACGCCAUCCCCUC